rnacentral:rRNA from 1 species
GACGGGGAGCACCACAACGGGUGGAGCUUGCGGUUUAAUUGGAUUCAACGCCGAAAUCUUACCGGGACCGACAGCAAUAUGAAGGCCAGGCUGAAGACUUUGCCGGAUUAGCUGAGAGGUGGUGCAUGGCCGUCGUCAGUUCGUACUGUGAAGCAUCCUGUUAAGUCAGGCAACGAGCGAGACCCACGCCCACAGUUGCCAGCGUACUCUCUGGAGUGACGGGUACACUGUGGGGACCGCCGCUGCUAAAGCGGAGGAAGGAAUGGGCAACGGUAGGUCAGUAUGCCCCGAAUAUCCCGGGCUACACGCGAGCUACAAUGGUUGGUACAAUGGGUAUCUACCCCGAAAGGGGACGGGAAUCUCCUAAAACCAAUCUUAGUUCGGAUUGAGGGCUGCAACUCGCCCUCAUGAAGCUGGAAUCCGUAGUAAUCGCGUUUCAACAGAACGCGGUGAAUACGUCCCUGCUCCUU